rnacentral:rRNA from 1 species
UACAGAGGGUGCAAGCGUUAAUCGGAAUUACUGGGCGUAAAGCGUGCGCAGGCGGUUUUGUAAGUCUGUCGUGAAAUCCCCGGGCUCAACCUGGGAAUUGCGAUGGAGACUGCAAGGCUAGAAUCUGGCAGAGGGGGAUGGAAUUCCGCGUGUAGCAGUGAAAUGCGUAGAUAUGCGAAGGAACACCGAUGGCGAAGGCAAUCCCCUGGACCUGUACUGACGCUCAUGCACGAAAGACGUGGGGAGCAAACGAG